rnacentral:rRNA from 1 species
AACCUCCGCAAUGUGAGAAAUCGCGACGGGGGGAUCCCAAGUGCCAUUCUUAACGGGAUGGCUUUUCUUAAGUGUAAAAAGCUUUUGGAAUAAGAGCUGGGCAAGACCGGUGCCAGCCGCCGCGGUAACACCGGCAGCUCUAGUGGUAGCUGUUUUUAUUGGGCCUAAAGCGUUCGUAGCCGGUUUGAUAAGUCACUGGUGAAAUCCUGUAGCUUAACUGUGGGAAUUGCUGGUGAUACUGUUGAACUUGAGGUCGGGAGAGGUUAGCGGUACUCCCAGGGUAGAGGUGAAAUUCUGUAAUCCUGGGAGGACCACCUGUGGCGAAGGCGGCUAACUGGAACGAACCUGACGGUGAGGGACGAAAGCUAGGGGCGCGAACCGGAUUAGAUACCCGGGUAGUCCUAGCCGUAAACGAUGCGGACUUGGUGUUGGGAUGGCUUUGAGCCGCUCCGGUGCCGAAGGGAAGCUGUUAAGUCCGCCGCCUGGGAAGUACGGUCGCAAGACUAAAACUUAAAGGAAUU